GUGAAAUCAUGGAGUCCUAAGCACUGAACCACCAGGGAAUUCCCAAAAAUUUCAUUCAGAGUUGUGGAAUUUUGCACAGAGAACCGUCCUGCCAUGGUUCUGGAUAAAGACUGGGUUUACUUUAAUGUCAUUAUCCUCAGCUGUGAAAGACAUUCAGAUUUCUUUAAAGUUUUCAUGUUAUAUUGGAGUAUAGUUGAUUAACAAUGUUAUGUUAGUUUUAGGCGUACUGCAAAGUGAUUCAGUUAUACAUACAUGUGCUUCUAUUGCUUUCACAUUUAGGUUAGUACAGAAUACUGCACAGAGUUCCGGAGAAGGCAAUGGCACCCCACUCCAGUACUCUUGCCUGGAAAAUCCCAUGGAUGGAAGAGCCUGGUAGGCUGCAGUCCAUGGGGUCGCUAAGAGUCGGACACGACUGAGCAACUUCACUUUCACUUUUCACUUUCAUGCAUUGGAGAAGGAAAUGGCAACCCACUCCAGUGUCCUUGCCUGGAGAAUCCCAGGGACGGGGGAGUCAAGUGGGCUGCCGUCUAUGGGGUCGCACAGAGUCCGACACGACUGAAGCGACUUAGCAGCAGCAGCAGCAGCAGCACAGAGUUCGCUGUGCUCCACAGUCGUUGCAGUGCAGAAGCCACCGAUGAACGAAGACCGAAAGCCUCGCUUUCCCGCCUUCCUGGUUCACUUCGAGAGGGGCUUCUGUUCACCGAACUUGAGCUUCAGGCUUCAAGCAGAGGCAGGGAACUGGAAGCAAAAGUAGGAAGUCAAGAGAUACCUGGAGUAACAGGCAAGUUUGGCCUUGGAGUACAAAAUGAAGCAGGGCAAAGGGUAACAGAGUUUUGCCAAGAGAACGCACUGAUGAUAGCAGACACCCUCUUCCAGCAACAUGAGAGAUGACUACUCUACACACGGGCAUCAUAGAUGGUCACCACCAAAAUCAGACUGAUUAUAUUCCUUAUAGCCAAAGAUGGAGAGGCUCUAUACAGUCAGCAAAAACUAGACUGGGAGCUGACUGUGGCUCAGAGCAUGAUCUCUUUAUUGCAAAAUUCAGACUUAAAUUGAAGAAAGUGGGAAAAACCUCUAGACCAUUCAGGUAUGACCUAAAUCAAAUCCCUUAUGAUUAUACAGUGGAAGUGACAAAUAGAUUUAAGGGAUUAGAUCUGAUAGAGUGCCUGAAGAACUGUGGACAGGGUCUGUAACAUUGUACAGAUGGCCAUGAUCAAAACCAUCCCUAAGAAAAAAAAAUGCAAAAAGGCAAAAUGGUUGUCUGAGGAGGCCUUACAAAUAGCUAUGAAGAGAAGAGAAAAGCAAAGGAGAAAAAGAGAGAUAUACCCAUUUGAAUGCAGAGUUCCAAAGAAUAGCAAGGAGAGAUAAAGUAUUCCUAAGUGAUCAAUGCAAAGAAAUAGUGGAAGAGAGUAGAAUGGAAAAAACUAGAGAUUUCUUCAAGAAAAUUAGAGCUGCCAAGGGAACAUUUCUUGCGAAGAUGGGCACAAUAACAGACAGGGACGGUAUGGACCUAACAGAAGCAGAAGAGACUAAGAAGGGGUGGCAAGAAUAUACAGAAGAACUAUACAAAAAAGAUGUUCAUGACCCAGAUAACCAUGAUGGUGUGAUCACUCACCUAGAGCCAGAUGAAGUGGGCUUUAGGAAGCAUCACUACGAACCAAGCUGGUGGAAGUGAUAGAAUUCCAGCUAAGCUACUUCAAAUCCUAAAAGACAAUGCUGUGAAAGUGCUGCACUCAAUAUGCCAGCAAAUUUGGAAAACUUUGCAGUGGCCACAGGACGGGAAAAGGUCAGGUUUUUAUUCCAAUGCCAAAGAAAGGCAAUGCCAAAGAAUGCUCAAACUCCUGCACAGUUGUACUCAUCUCACACGCUAGCAAAGUAAUUCUCAAAAUUGUCCAAGCUAGGCUUCAACAGUAUGUGAACUGAGAACUUCCAGAUGUUCAAGCUAGAUUUAUAAAAGGCAGAGGACCAGAAAUCAAAUUGCCAACAUCCACUGGAUCAUAGAAAAAGCAAGAGAAUUCCAGAAAAACAUCUACUUCUGCUUCAUUGACUAUGCUAAAGGCUUUGACUGUCUGGAUCACAACAAACUAUGGAAAAUUCUUCAAGAGAUGGGAAUACCAGACCACCUUACCUGCCUCCUGAGAAAUCUGUAUGCAGAUCAAGAAGCAGUUAGAAUUGGACAUGGAACAACAGACUGGUUCCAAAUCAGGAAAGGAGUAUAUCAAGGCUAUAUAUUGUCACCCUGAUUAUUUAACUUUUAUGCAGAGUAUAUCAUGCAAAAUGCCAGGCUGGAUGAAGCACAAGCUGGAAUCAAGAUUGCUGGGAGAAAUAUCAAUAACCUCAGAUAUGCAAAUGACACCACCCUAUGGCAGAAAGUGAAGAGAAACUAAAGAGCCUCUUGAUGAAAAUGAAAGAGGAGAGUGAAAAAGCUGGCUUAAAACUCAGUAUUCAAAAAACUAAGAUCAUGGCAUCCAUGGCAAAUAGAUAGGGAAACAAUGGAAACAUUGAUAGCCUUUCACUGCAGAUGGUGACUGCAGCCAUGAAAUUAAAAGAUGCUUGCUCCUUGGAAGAAAAGCUAUGACCAACCUAGACAGCAUAGUAAAAAGCAGACAGAUUACUUUACCAACAAAGGUCUGUCUAGUUAAAGCUAUAGUUUUUCCAGCAGUCAGGUAUGGAUGUGAGUUGGACCAUAAAGAAAGCCGAGCACCAAAAAGUUGAUGCUUUUUAACUGUGGUGUUGAAGAAGACUCUUGAGAGGCCCUUGGGCCACAAGGAGAUCUAACCAGUCAAUCCUAAAGGAAAUCAGUCCUGAAUGGUCAUUGGAAGGAUUGAUGCUGAAGUUGAAGCUCUAAUACCUUGGCCACCUGACGUGAAGAACUGACUCAUUGGAAAAGACUCUGAUGUGAGGAAAGGUUGAAGGCGGGUGGAGAGAGGAUGACAGAGGAUGAGGUGGUUGGAUGGCAUCACUGGCUUGAAGAGACAUGAGCUUGAGCAAGCUCCGGGAGUUGGUGAUGGACAGGGAAGCCUGGUGUGCUGCAGUCCAUGGGAUCACAAAGAGUUGGACUUGACUGAGCGACUGAACUGAACUGAACCAUACACAAGGAACAGUGAGCAAAGAUUGACUGAACGUGCAUCUAUGACACAAUCUUAACCGAUGAGACUGAAGAUGGCACUUCUGGAAGCUUUCUUCAUCCUAAAUAUAGAUUCAUGUCAAGGACUUGCUUCUUCCUGCCCUGGAGCUUGUUAUACGAGGAGAUGAUUCUUAGAAAGUCAAAGGACAGCAGAGAAGCCCAUCUGGGACCCUGUCAUCAUAGAAUCACUGAUCAUAAUCACUUAAUCAAAGGUGUGAGAUUGAGAAGGCGAGAGAAUGCUAAAGCAAAGACAACUGACGGGAAAAUGAGGCCACAGCCUCCACUCAGACACACCUGUGUGAUAUCACUCACGUUUCUUUAGCUUUCUGGACCUGAGUAUUCUCAUCCAUCAAAUCAAGGAGUGAUUCCUAAAGUCUCUUCCAAUUCUAUUCCUAAUGUCUGUAUUAAAAUCAUUCUCAAUUUAGAAGUCUUUUUGUGACCAAUAACAGAAAUUCAUAACUUUUAUUUCUUGGAGGUCUUACAAAAGUGAAGACAAGAGAAGGGGACAUGAGAGGAUGAGAUGGUUGGAUGGCAUCACCAGCUCGAUGGACAUGAGUUUGAGUAAGCUCUGAGAGUAGGUGACAGACAGGGAAGCCUGGUGUGCUGCUGUCCAUGGGGUCGCAAAGAGUCGUACAUGACUGAGCAACUGAACUGAACUGAACAGAAAUUUGCAUGAGCUAGUGAAAGCUAAAAAGGGAUAUUUAUCAAAACACCAGUGUGUAACAGAUGGAACCUUGGUAAAUUUUCUUUGAUUCAAACAGAAACCUGGUUCGGAUCCUCCAUUCCAUUGUGCUUGCAGAAACUGAAGGAUAGGGUGUGUGUAGGUGCAGGAAUGUGGGUUUGAAAAGCAAAGAUGAUAUUAAAAAUAUCUAACAGCUGCUAGAGCCACAAAGGUACAUGUCAGCUGAUCA